rnacentral:rRNA from 1 species
UACAGAGGGUGCGAGCGUUGUUCGGAAUUCUUGGGCGUAAAGGGCGCGUAGGCGGUGCGGUAAGUCACCUGUGAAAUCUCCCGGCUUAACUGGGAGCCUGCAGGCGAAACUGCCGUGCUGGAGUGUGGGAGAGGUGCGUGGAAUUCCCGGCGUAGCGGUGAAAUGCGUAGAUAUCGGGAGGAACACCUGUGGCGAAAGCGGCGCACUGGACCACAACUGACGCUGAGGCGCGAAAGCUAGGGGAGCAAACAGG